rnacentral:misc_RNA from 1 species
AGCAGCCGCGGUAAUUCCAGCUCCAAUAGCGUAUAUUAAAGUUGUUGCAGUUAAAAAGCUCGUAGUUGAAUUUCGGGAUCAAAGGAUCGGUCAUGCCUUGGUAUGUACUGGUUUUAUUGGUUCUCACCUUCUAAAGAACCAUAAUGUCAUUCAUUUGAUGUUAUGGGGAAUUAGGACUGUUACCUUGAAAAAAAUUAGAGUGUUUAAAGCAGGCUCACGCUUGAAUACAUUAGCAUGGAAUAAUGAAAUAGGACGUUUGAUUCUAUUUUGUUGGUUUCUAGGAUCGACGUAAUGAUUAAUAGGGAUAGUUGGGGGCAUUAGUAUUCAAUUGUCAGAGGUGAAAUUCUUGGAUUUAUUGGAGACUAACUACUGCGAAAGCAUUUGCCAAGGAUGUUUUCAUUAAUCAAGAACGAAAGUUAGGGGAUCGAAGACGAUCAGAUACCGCCGUAGUCUUAACCAUAAACUAUGCCGACUAGGGAUCGGAUGAUGUUAAUUUUAUAAUGACUCAUUCGGCGCCUUA